UACGUAGGGCGCAAGCGUUGUCCGGAAUCAUUGGGCGUAAAGAGCUCGUAGGUGGUCUGUUACGUCUGCUGUGAAAUCCUAGGGCUUAACCCUGGGCCUGCAGUGGAUACGGGCAGACUAGAGGUAGGUAGGGGAGAAUGGAAUUCCUGGUGUAGCGGUGAAAUGCGCAGAUAUCAGGAGGAACACCGGUGGCGAAGGCGGGUCUCUGGGCCGAUACUGACGCUGAGGAGCGAAAGCGUGGGGAGCGAACAGG
rnacentral:rRNA from 1 species